rnacentral:rRNA from 2 species
AUAUGGUCAAAGUAAUAAAGAGUCUAUGGUGGAUGCCUAGGAGCUUUAAGGCGAAGAAGGUCGUGGUAAGCUGCGAAAAGCUUGGGGGAGAAGCAAACAUUCUAUGAUCCCAAGAUUACCGAAUGGAGUAAUCCAAUUAGUUAGAUGCUAAUUAUCUACUGCUUAUGUGGUAGAGGCUAUACCAGGGGAAGUGAACCAUCUAAGUACCCUGAGGAAAAGAAAUCAAAGAGAUUCCCUAAGUAGUGGCGAGCGAAAGGGGAGUAGCCUAAACUUUAAAUGUGUCAAGCUGCAGAGCGUUGCAUUUAGAGGGUUGUAGGACGCUUGGAGCUUAGUCUGUAAUAAGCUGAGAAGUUACAAAAUAUUUAUAUAGAAGAAUAGCUUGGAAAAGUUAGCCAGAGAAGGUGACAGCCCUGUAAUUUAAAUAUAAAUAUCUUCUUAAAGAUGUUCCUAAGUAGGACGGGACACGAGAAACCUUGUCUGAAGCUGGGGAGACCACUCUCCAAGGCUAAAUACUAUAAAGCUACCGAUAGUGAAGAGUACCGUGAGGGAAAGGUGAAAAGAACCCCGGGAGGGGAGUGAAAUAGAACUGAAACCGUGGACUUACAAGCAGUCAAAGCCAUGAUAUAUUCAUGGUGAUGGCGUGCCUUUUGCAUAAUGAACCUGCGAGUUAUCAUGUCUAGCAAGGUUAAGGCAUAGUAGUGCUGGAGCCUCAGCGAAAGCGAGUCUUAAACGGGCGAUUUAGUUAGAUGUGGUAGACCCGAAGCCGAGUGAUCUAUUUAUGGCCAGGCUGAAGCUUGGGUGAAACCAAGUGGAGGGCCGAACCCUAGUCUGUUUAAAAAGGCAGGGAUGAGCUGUGAAUAGGAGUGAAAGGCUAAACAAACUCGGAGAUAGCUGGUUCUCCUCGAAAUGGAUUUAAGUUCAGCCUUAUUUUAGUGCAAUAGAGGUAGAGCACUAAUUGAGCUAGGGCCUGUCAAAGGGUACCAAACUCAGUUAAACUCCGAAUGCUAUUGUAUGAUGAAUAGGAGUGAGACUAUGGGCGAUAAGGUCCAUGGUCGAGAGGGAAACAACCCAGACCAACAGCUAAGGUCUCAAAAAUGUAUUAAGUGGAAAAGGAUGUUUAGGUACGUAAACAGCCAGGAGGUUGGCUUAGAAGCAGCCAUACCUUUAAAGAGUGCGUAAUAGCUCACUGGUCGAGUACUUAAGCGCCGACAAUGUAACGGGGCUUAAAUACAUUACCGAAGCUUUGGAUUCUAAUUUAAUUAGAAUGGUAGAGGAGCGUUCUGUAAGCUUGUGAAGUUAAACUGAGAAGUUUGAUGGAGGUAUCAGAAGUGAGAAUGCAGGUAUGAGUAACGAAAAAAUGGGUGAGAUCCCCAUUCGCCGAAAACCUAAGGUUUCCUGGGUGAAGGUCGUCUUCCCAGGGUUAGUCGGCCCCUAAGGCAAAGCUGAAGAGUGAAGUCGAUGGGAAACGGGUUAAUAUUCCCGUACCUCUUAUAGUUUCGAUUGGAGUGACGCAUGAGGUUAACUACUGCUAGGCGAUGGUAGUCCUAGUUUAAGCAUUAAGGUGUUGAUUUUAGUAGGCAAAUCCGCUAAAAGAGCUGAGAUGUGAUGAUGAGUGUUGUUUUGGCAACAUGAAAUGUAGGUAGUCAAGGUGCCAAGAAAUAACUUCUAAGGUUAGGCUAUAAGGGACCGUACCGCAAACCGACACAGGUAGGUGGGAUGAAAAUUCUAAGGCGCGCGAGAGAAUCCACGUUAAGGAACUCUGCAAAAUACAUACGUAACUUCGGGAUAAGUAUGACCUAAGAGAUUAGGUAGCAUAAAAAUGGUCCAAACGACUGUUUACCAAAAACACAGGUCUCUGCAAAUCUGUAAAGAGAAGUAUAGGGACUGACACCUGCCCGGUGCUGGAAGGUUAAGAGGAGAUGUUAGUGUCAAAGCGAAGCAUUAAAUUUAAGCCCCAGUAAACGGCGGCCGUAACUAUAACGGUCCUAAGGUAGCGAAAUUCCUUGUCGGGUAAGUUCCGACCCGCACGAAUGGUGUAACGAUUUGGACGCUGUCUCAACGUGGAGCUCGGUGAAAUUGAAGUAUCGGUGAAGAUGCCGAUUACUUGUGGUUAGACGGAAAGACCCCGUGAACCUUUACUAUAGCCUGGUAUUGAGGUUUGGUUAAAUAUGUGUAGGAUAGGUGGGAGACUUUGAAGCUAUCUCGUUAGGGAUAGUGGAGUCGCACUUGAAAUACCACCCUUGUUUAAUUAAGUUUCUAACUCAUAGUGAUAUGAGGAGAGUGCCAGGUGGGUAGUUUGACUGGGGCGGUCGCCUCCCAAAGAGUAACGGAGGUGCGCAAAGGUUACCUUAGAGUGGUUGGAAAUCACUCUGUAAGUGUAAAGGCAUAAGGUAGCUUAACUGUGAGACUGACAAGUCGAGCAGAUACGAAAGUAGGUCUUAGUGAUCUGGCGGUGGCGAGUGGAAGCGCCGUCACUUAACGAAUAAAAGGUACUCCGGGGAUAACAGGCUUAUCCUUCCCAAGAGUUCAUAUCGACGGAAGGGUUUGGCACCUCGAUGUCGGCUCAUCGCAUCCUAGGGCUGGAGCAGGUCCUAAGGGUAUGGCUGUUCGCCAUUUAAAGCGGUACGCGAGCUGGGUUCAGAACGUCGUGAGACAGUUUGGUCCCUAUCUGCCACAAGCGUUGGAUAUUUGAGAGGCUCUAUCUCUAGUACGAGAGGACCGAGAUGGACGAACCUCUGGUUUACCAGUUAUUCUGCCAAGGGUAAGUGCUGGGUAGCUACGUUCGGAAGGGAUAACCGCUGAAAGCAUCUAAGUGGGAAGCCUUCCUCAAGAUUAGAUAUCCUAUUAGAGGGUCCUGGAAGAAUACCAGGUUGAUAGGUUAGAAGUGUAAGUAUAGUAAUAUAUUAAGCUGACUAAUACUAAUUACCCGAAUCUUUGACCAUAU